UGGCACUCUAGCCCGGGUGACAGAGUGAGACUCUGUCUCAAAUAAAAAAAAAAUGAAUAGUUAAGAUCUCCAUGCUUUAAGUGAGAUUUUGAAGUAUGAAAACAGAAGCCAUAUACGUCCCACUACAGGAAUUUCGCUUGCAAUAGGUUUUGUAAAGACUUGGUUUUUGGGGUUUUUGUUUUUUAAUUAUUUGUUUUCAUUCUUUCCGAAUCUUCUCAUUGGAAGACCUUGUUUAUUUUUAGUUUGGUACCCGGAAACCUCUCCAUUCCCCAGCAGUGUUCUGGUGGUCCUGGCAGUGACGGCGGUGGUCUUCCCUUUCCAGGUGCUUGGGCCUGUCUAGAGCGUUAUGAGCAAUGACAGCUGAGUCCUUAGAAGCCGUCCACCCGGGCAGUGAAUGACGUCAUGACGGCUACAACUCCGUUUAUUUCUUUCACAAAAUAAAAUCAUGCAUAAAAUUCCUAAGAUUGACCAAGAAAAGGUUGAAGGCUGUUUAACAAUUUACAUAAGUAAUCUUGACAAUAAGUUUUUUGUUGAAACACAGUUCAAAUGAAAGCAGAGGGGAAACCUUUUGGGUGGUUGGACACAAUCCAGCAAGACCAAGACCAAACCACUAGGGCCUCGUAAAUGACCUGGCUUCAGAUCACUGACGUGCUGGCACCAAUGGAGGGUAAGAAGAAAAACUACUUUACAAACGACAAACACACGGCAAGAAUUCUUGUUUGGAGAGUCAGAAAGCCAGUGUUAGUGUUGAUGAUAGAGAUUUUUAAAAGUCAGCUGUCUUGCUUUGAUGCAGUGAAUAAGUCUGUUUGGAAACCUCUUCAGAGCAGCAACAUCAUGACGUGACAACGGUCGGCUUUGCAAAUCCUACCACCGCUUGUGUCCCUUCUGCCCCCAGGACCCUUGUCCUGCAGCUUCCUCUCCAGGUCCUGUCCCAUUGGUUCCACAGCACUUUCAAGAUGUCAUUGGUUCUAGAAGGGAGAGUCACAUUUAUGUGUGAUUUUCUUAAGCUUUCCUCAUGAGAAUAGUCCUGCAAUAAUGACUGUAUGUUCUGAACAUGCUGUUUGCCUUGGGCUCGUGUGCGAUGAGCACACUUCCCGAAGGCCAACCAGUAGGGGACAAAUACAGGGACCAGGUGACCCUCCAUGUUUGGAAAGCCCCACGUACAAGCAGCAAGGACAAAAAGGUGCUGAGCUCAAAUUGGGUGCUGACGCGACGUGACCAAAGUGGACAAGAGCGAGUCUCUCCUGAUGGGUCCGUCUGGGGUCUGUGCUUACCUGGUUCCACCCAUGGGCAGGGUGCAGAAUGGCACCACUGGCAGCUGGCAGCCUGGGGAGAGGGCUCACGGCGGUUCCUCUGUGUACACGGCUAAUGCUCUGCGUUAGUCUCAGCCUUUUGCACUUACAUGGGCACAGUCAAGAUAAUAACCAUGCCACAAAAGCACAGCGUAUGACUAGAAGGGGACAGAUGGCUUUCCCUGGCAUGACAGAGCCAUAACUGAAGGGCGAGGCUACAUGACGCUGAUGUCAGCUCGUCUUUAUUUUACCAUCUGGCUCCUUGUCUAGGGCUCCCUCAAAAGGGAUGUCCCCGCUACCCUGCGCCGGGGCCUCCUCUCCCACACGGCAGUCCGUGCGGAAACACAAAGGAGGUGGAUGGUGCUGGUGUUCUGCGUAAGCCCCAUGCCAGGCUUGUUAGCAGAAGCCUCUUCCUUCACCCCGGCUGGCUUCCCCUUCGCAGCCAGGAGUCUCCACUUAAGUCCUUUUUAAUGAGAGGAGCUCAGCACUCACUCAAUGGUCCCCACCUUCCUCGUAAAGGAACUGAGCUCCACCCCCCCCCAGCAGCCACUUCCGACAGCAUCCCUAAUAGGAGCCUGACGCCUUCCUGCGACGCCUAUUCAGCGCCUGCACUUCUCGUCUUCAGAACCAACAGUGCUGUUUUUCAGAACAACAGCAUGGUGUUAAACUCACCCCAUUGGAAAUCCGACCCCAUCACCCCCUGCUCUCCCGAGUCAGCUUGCAGACUGAGGGUUACGUGUUCACAUACCGGCCCAUACGGAUAAUCCAGACUAAUGACAGGCCUGGUCGCUCACGGAUGAAUAUCGAAAACUUCACCAGUUUGAGCUUAUUCCACUGGAGCUCUGCCUCGACGAUCAUGUCGUUGGGUGAAGACUAUUCACGGAAGAGAGGUGUUCAGUGCUCAGAGAAGAAAGGGCAGAGUACAAGAGCUGCUUCUGUUUCCAGUUACUUGAGUGAUUUUUCAGGGGCUAAAUAAGCCACUUUAUCUAGAAGUGCUUAAACAAUUGCUUAAAUAAUGCAUGGGUGAGGGGAGGCUUUCUGAAUCCCAGUGGUGCCUUUGAUUUGAGAAAGAUUCGUUACAGGUUCCCAGACCUGCUUGUGGACAUCACCAGGACAUCCGUUCUACUAUUCUCUUUGUCCUUGUUUCCAACUGGUGGCAUUCUUCAAAUACAGAGCGGCAUGAGAAGAAUGAAGGUUCCUGAGCGCAAGAGACGACAGACAGUCAUCCCGGUUGGCCACGCGGAGUCCUCGUGUCUUUACCAUCACCUGCUCAUUCUGGACAUCUUGCGCCAUCUCCGAUUCCAUGGCAACCCUGUUUCCAUGUCUCUUGCAGCCUCCAGCAUACCCCAUGCCUUUGUGCAGAUUACAAAACAGUGGUCUCUCUAGGGACAUCAAUGAUAAAAAGACACACCCAGAGGCAGACAAUUUUACAGGACCCCUUGGUUGGACAAAACACAGACAGGUGGCCCUUCCGUUAGGUGGGUGUUGCCCUCAGGGCUUGGCAGGUCCAGCCUGGGCUGGAUUCCAUUCCCACCCCACUGCCUGUCCCGGUGCCUUUGCUUUGUGCAGAACUGCACAGUCUGAUCUGCGGCGCUGCUGUCUCUGCCCCCUUUCCCACUGCUGUGUCUAGAGCAGCCGUUCUCCAAGCACAAUUCUUGGACCGGUGGCACCGUCACCUAGAGACAUGCUGGAAACACAAGCUCUCAGUCCCCACUGCAGAGUUCCUGGCUCAGCAAGCAGCAAUCUGUGUUUAAUCAAACCCUCCAGAUGAUUCUGAUGUACACCAGAAAAGCACUUGGCACACAGUAGGUCUGCAGUAAAUGCUUGUUUGUUGAAUGAAUAAAUGAAUUUCUCCUUCACAAUGAAGCUCAAGCACCCUCUCCUUGAGACAGCCCCUUCCCCAGCCUCCCGCUUGCUCGGCUCUGUCCUCUCCGUGCUUGCACGGUGCUCCCUGCCGCCGUGCGCUGGGCCGCGGUGCUCUGCGAGAAGCUCUCUCCGUGCCCUGCCCUGGCUCUCCACGAGCACAGAGAUGGUGGUGCCCAAGCUGCACCCCUGUCGCCCCCAGCACAAUGCUUGGGCCACGCUGGAGACCCAGUUCACGUGGGCAGAAGACACAGCAAACAGCAAACGAUAAAGUCAUCACUGGGCCUGGCGUCUGUACCUGCCCAAAGACCAUGGGAUUCCAAUCAAUUCAAGAACCCAUGCUAAGAAGAAACUAUUUUGUCAUUAUGCCUCAAAUGUGCCAUUUCCUCUUGUUUAGUUGUUGUGCAUACUCACAGUUUAGUAAUAAAAUUUGUUUAUUAAAAUAUUUAA